GUGCUCUGGUCUUGUAGCUGGUGGCCUGGGAGAUGCUUUGGGUGCUGGAAGCUAAGGCUGCUCCUGGAAUCUCUAAAACAGCGGCAGAAUACAAAUCAACCCACCCCAUGCACAGACGGCUGGGAUCCUUUGAGACUCUUGUUUUAUGGAUGAAAUAAAUUCAGCCAAUGGGGAAUGGAAGGCACACAUAAAUAAUACAUAGCAAUAGCAAUAUUGGUUUUAUUUGGAAAAAAAAGAAAAAAGAAAUGGAAUCUGCCUUGGAGACAGCCAGGCUGGAGGCAGCCACAGUGAAGAUGAGGGUGAUGCACCACAAUGAAGACUUCGUGUUACGUAGUGAGGACCACAAAGCGGCCACACCAUCCUCGUCCAGAUGUGCUGGAGGAACACCAAACUGAAUGGGCAUUUUCAACACAUGGUCAAGGAACAGACCCCCUCUCAAGGUUACUUCCCAUCCACACGUUCAGGACUCCCAGGCAGCACAGGAUCCUGCUCCUCAUGUCUCUGCAGCUUCUCUUCCACCUCUGUUGCCAUAAGGCAGCUGUGAGCACUAAGUGAUGUUCUGCACCACUGGUCUAAGCAUGAGCAAUGUGGAUUUGCCUGUCCUUAGCAACCGGAGAUGUGGGGUCUGACUUCAGUCAAUUGAUUUUUGACGAGGAUCGCAGCCACUUUGCCUGGCUGGAAUUGGAUGCGCUGGGAGUCUCUUGGUCCAUGAAUGAACAAUUGGACUAACAGUAAGGACACAAAGGCAGCAGAUUUCAGGCUGUCGCGGGUAGCAGUAGCAGUCAAUCACCUGCAUGAAGGGUUUGUGUUACAGUAAAUCCUCCUGCGCUGUGGAGUGAAAGCAUCCUGCUCCCAGCCCCAGCAGUAACUUGUUUCUUGAUGAAACUCCGCUGGCCCCUGGUUUCCCAUGGGAAACCAUUGCACUCUAGCUCUGUAAUCUGUGAUCAAAAUGAAGGAACGCAACCUUGGCAAAGGGAGUGCUUUGGGAUGUAAACUCCCCCGGUGCCCACUUGCUGUUCUACACUCUUACUCUGAUGAAUGAGCAU
rnacentral:lncRNA from 7 species